GAUGAACGCUGGCGGCGUGCUUAACACAUGCAAGUCGAACGGAAAGGCUCCUGCUUGCAGGGGUACUCGAGUGGCGAACGGGUGAGUAACACGUGGGUGAUCUGCCCUGCACUUCGGGAUAAGCCUGGGAAACUGGGUCUAAUACCGGAUAGGACGAUGGUUUGGAUGCCAUUGUGGAAAGUUUUUUCGGUGUGGGAUGAGCUCGCGGCCUAUCAGCUUGUUGGUGGGGUAAUGGCCUACCAAGGCGUCGACGGGUAGCCGGCCUGAGAGGGUGUACGGCAACAUGGGACUUGGGAAACGGCCCAGACUCUUAGGGGGGGCAGCGGUGGGGAAUAUGGCACAAUGGGGGCAGGCCUGAUGCAGGGACGCGGGGUGGGGGAGGACGGCCUUCGGGUGGUAAACUCCUUUCGCUAGGGACGAGGCGCAGGGGACGGAACCUGGGGAGGAAGCACGGCCAAACUACGG
rnacentral:rRNA from 1 species